AUACGGAGGAUGCAAGCGUUAUCCGGAUUUAUUGGGUUUAAAGGGUGCGUAGGCGGAUGAUUAAGCGUGAGGUGAAAUGCCACUGCUCAACAGUGGAACUGCCUCGCGAACUGGUUGUCUUGAAUGCUCCUGCCGUGGGAGGAAUGUGUGGUGUAGCGGUGAAAUGCAUAGAUAUGACGAAGAACACCGAUUGCGUAGGCAGCUGACCAGACCGCAAAUGACGCUCAUGCACGAAAGUGCGGGGAUCGAACAGGAUUAGAUACCCUGGUAGUCCGCACAGUAAACGAUGAAUACUUGUUUUCGGCGAUAUAAUGUCGGAGGCAAAGCGAAAGCGAUAAGUAUCCCACCUGGGGAGUACGCCGGCAACGGUGAAACUUAAAGGAAUUGACGGGG
rnacentral:rRNA from 1 species